rnacentral:rRNA from 1 species
GAUGAACGCUGGCGGCGUGCCUAAUACAUGCAAGUCGAGCGAACGGACGAGAAGCUUGCUUCUCUGAUGUUAGCGGCGGACGGGUGAGUAACACGUGGAUAACCUACCUAUACGACUGGGAUAACUUCGGGAAGCCGGAGCUACUACCGGAUGAUAUUUUGAACCGCAUGGUUCAAAAGUGAAAGACGGUCUUGCUGUCACUUAUAGAUGGAUCCGCGCUGCAUUAGCUAGUUGGUAAGGUAACGGCUUACCAAGGCAACGAUGCAUAGCCGACCUGAGAGGGUGAUCGACCACACUGGAACUGAGACACGGUCCAGACUCCUACGGGAGGCAGCAGUAGGGAAUCUUACGGAAUGGGCGAAAGCCGGACGGAGCAACGCCGCGUGAGUGAUGAAGGUCUUCGGAUCGUAAAACUCUGUUAUUAGGGAAGAACAUAUGUGUAAGUAACUGUGCACAGCUUGACGGUACCUAAUCAGAAAGCCACGGCUAACUACGUG